CCGCGUGGCAGACCGUGCAGCUGCGAGCACCGGGCCGGAUAAAGGCUGGCAUGGGCCCUCCAAGCGGCGCCUGGCCCCUUCCAGUGCAGACCGGCCCUGCCUCGCCUGCGCCGGCCCGCGCGUGGUCCGAGGGCAGCUUCUCCAGGCCCUCGGCGUCCUCCCCGGACCUGGCCUGGACGUCACGCGCCGGCCGAGGAGGCGCGGCGCCCCCGGGGUCUCCCAGCCCCAGCAAACGUCCAGCCGCCAGGCGGGCCCCGGGGAGAGCGCUGCAGCCGGAGCCGCUGAAGAGCAAUUUUUCAAGAACAAAAAGGUCAGCGCGCGCCGGCCCGAUCGAUCGUCCUCCCGCUCCGCUCCCCCGGCAGGGGGCUGGGGGCCGGCCCACCACCUCGUCGCCCUCCGCGAUGCCCAUCGUUACCGGCACAGCGGGGCUCCCCAGCGAGCACCCCCGCAACACGGCAGGCCCGUACAGUCGUCCAGAGCCACUUCCGUCCAUCCGGCACCGCCGAGGGAGAGAGCCUGGAGUCGUGUGCUCGCCCGUGGGUGCGCGGCCCUGGGCCGCGGAGACGGCUCCGGCGCCGGCUUUGCCCCCGCCGGGCAGAGAGGACCUCACGCGCCCGGGCCAGGCGCUCGCUGAAGUCGGCUCCGCUGGCCCGCCGUUGGGCAGAGGCUGCAAAACAGGGCUGGAGCCCUGGGCUGGCCGGCGGCGAUCCACGCGGCCCCCACGCAGCCUUCGGGCAGCUGCAGGGACAGAGCAGAAGACAGGAGUGCGUGUGGGGGGCCAGACCAGCGGUGCCUGGGGCCCUACAGACCCCAAGGCAGCUCCCGUACCCCCACGCCCACGGUCCUCCAAGCCCCCAGCCCCUUCCCGGGCUGCUUCUGGGAAGGAGGCCGCGCCACAGAGGCUCGCUCGCCUGCCCGUCUCCAGCCUCACCGGGGCCGCCGUUUCCGCAGCAGAGCAGGAUGCGCGGGGCCGGGGGCGACGGGGCGAGACCCGCAGCUCACUGAGUCUCCUGGCUCAAGCAGCCGGGACGCGGGCGUGGGGGAGAAUAGGCUUUGCACCCUCCGCUCUGCUCAAGAAGGGCGCACACCUCGACACACACAAAGGGCAGGGACCCCACAAGACCCGGACCCUUCUGGGAGCAGGAAUCGGCCCCAGGCAGACGGGGGCUCAGCCCUCCUUCCACCCCCGAGCCCCCGGGCCUGGGGCUGGCAGCACCGACGCGCUGCUUGAGGCCGGGCGGAUGCUGCACGGCCAGGUCUGGGCCACCCUGGAGCAGGGGGCUGUCUCGGCAGGGCUCCCCUGGCAGCGCAGGCCGGCUGGGAACGGGGCAGAUUUAUCGCCCUUGGCACGGAGCCGAGAGGCCCGGCCGGCAUCUGGGCAGUUACCGGGGUUUCCUGUCGCUGCCGAAAGCAUCCAGAGCACAAACGCUGGGAACCCCGGCGCUGAGCUGGGACCCCGACGGGGACCUGCACCGCGGGGGCCACAGCCCAGCACCACGGCAUGGGACGGAGCCACGGGCCCAGCCCACCCAGGGGCAAGCCGGCAGGGGCGGGCCGGCAUGGACACGGGGCCGUGCCCUCAGCCCGGAGGACGCCGAAUGUGGCACCCAGAGCCCCAGACAGACGGAGGCCGGGCCCGGUGCAUGCACUGCCCAGGGCCGCCUCGCAGCCUUGCAGGGUGCCAGGGGCAGGCAGCCCGCAGCACCGGUAACGCAGGGCUGAGGUUGCAUCAUGGAGAAGUCGGAGCAAAGCCCCCGAGACCCAGCGGCACUUCCCUCCUGGCUCGGGGCCAGCUCCCCCCACCAGCUGAGCCAGCUGCUGGCUUGGCCUCCAGCUCCGGGGACGGCGCGCGCCUCCUGCCAAGGGCCCCGAGGCCCAGGACAGCCUUGGGCAGCUCCCGGAGGGGAGAGCGGGGGAAGCUGCAGCCGCCGGAGGCUGCAUGA
ensembl:lncRNA